AGCCGUCGUUCACGCCGCUCACCACGAGCCUUGCUUCUUCACGUCACCUCCUUCUCACACAUUUUCCCUCUCACCUCUCAAUCCAUGGACACCCUCCCUGCUCUGAUCCCCCCCGAUGCUCGCCGUGGGUGCCGUUUGCUGCCCCAACGCCGUUCCGCGCCCCCUCCACUCCGGCCAUGAGCUCCUCCCAGUGAAUCCCUCUAGUCCCCUGCUCAUCUCCCAUGGUGGCCGCAGGGAGCUCUGGAUCCAUGGCCGUCGGCCUCUGGGCGUGAGCAGCCCUUGGCUCUCUCCCCUGCGACAGACUUCCUCCACGGUGUCUCUUUCCCCAACCAUGGUGGCCGGCUCCCUGCGCCUCCAUUCGGUGCCCCUGGUUCAGGGCCGGUCGACCUCCGGCGACCUCCUCCCCAUGGCACAGCAGGCCGACGCCCCUGCCUCUACUCCAUCUUCCCCAUUGGACAGCACGAGCUCCUCCUCGCCGAUACGCCAGCAACCCUGCAGCAGCGCCACUCGAUCUCCUCUAUACGUGAACAACAGCAACCCGGAUCCCAUCCACGUCGUAUGCGUCGAUCCGAUCUGUGCAGUCCCAACCCACGACGUCGCAACACCCUUGCCCUCCGUCGAUGUCACGCUUCGCUCAUCGCUCCUCGACGAAGAGCCAUAACCGUGGUAGACAUGCAUGCGCGAUCCGAACUGAUUUCAUCAGGUUGUUCGCUUUAUAUGAUUCUAGUUUGCUCUAAUUAGGUGUGAUCGAUGGCGUGAAUAUGUGUGUGAAAAUGUAUGUGUAUAAAUGGGGAUAAGUUUAGUAUAUUAAAUGGGAUAGUUGAUAGUAUUUGUUUGUGCUAUCAUGUUAAUUUUAUGGUAUGGUGAAUCAAUGCUUCACUUUAACAAAAAAAAAAAA
rnacentral:lncRNA from 1 species